UGACACUGAAGACCGAGGUAAUAGGUCUGUCUAAGGGCCAGUGGAAUAUAAGCUAUAGUUUGUAGUGGUGGUUAUUUUAGAUUCAGAGUGUAGAGGAGAUGGAUCAUUGUAAUUAAGAGUCAUAGAAAUCUGAACCUCACUGCUAAACUGGCGGUAACCAGCAUUUCAUCGCUGCUGGCCAGCACUCCUGCAGAGGCUCACAGCCGAUGACCCAUUAGCAGUCCUCAGAGCCUUCAGGGUGCUGUGCGUGCUGGCUGAAACAUGUGGGGACUUUCUGAGGAGGAGGGUUUCUAAAGAGGUUCUGCCCAAGCUGAGCGCCUCUCUGGCACGGCAGGCUCCGAUCAGCGCCAAGGCUGGGCCUGUCUACACACACACCCUGGCCUACAAACUGCAGCUGGCUGUAUUGCAGGGGCUGGGCUGACUGUGCCAGAGACUGGAUCUGGCUGAAGCAGACCUAGAUGUGGUUUGUGAAGCCUGUCUACCCUACCUGAGCUCCAGACAACCCAUCAGACUGCAAGAAGCCUGUUUAAGGUAAGUCUUUAUUAAGGACCACUGUAGUAAGUAACUAAAUCUUUCAUUUAUACUAAUGUGUUUGAGUGUUAGCACAGCUAAAAACAAAAAAGGCUCAACUCUUAUCCAUCAUUUAAUUAUUUACUUGCUGUUUAUGGUUUUUAGGUAUUACUAAUGUUUAAGCAGUAUAUACACAUAUAUUUGUACUAUGUGCAAGACGGUACUUUUCUUUGGGUAUUGAAAUUCUUGCAUGUCCUGCCUGAUAAUAAUUUAGUAUGGUCUGAUAUUUUUACAAAAGACAAGGUGUUGCUUUUUUCUUGUUUUGUUUUUUCAAAUCUGUGCUCACAUGGCCCUGCAAAUGAAUCUUCAGUCUGUUUCUAAUCAAACCACAACACACAGCUCUGAUGAAGCACAUUUGGAGUGUUUAACUAUUAAUCAGCAAUAACUAAUAGUGUUUUUUGCCUGAUACUUUGAAUGCUAGUUAAUCAGAGAUGAAUAUGUGAAGUGCAGAUCUCAGAGUUUUCAGUCUUAGUUGAUUUGACAACCACUGUAUUACUGGUGCUAAUAGCAAAGCUUUAAUAUAAAGGCCAUACACUGUAGGGCCAGCAAAUCUAACUAUUGUUGUUUUUUUAGGAAGGCAAUAAGUUAACCUCAUCUUACUUUAUAUUGCAGUGGCACACCAGAGUUAGGUACACCAGUACAAUACAUUGAAUUCUGUCUCUAAUAUUCAAAUCCUUGAAUUAAGGAGUUCUAAUCACUUCAGUGGCCACAGGCUUAUAAAAUCAAGAAUUUAGACAUGCAGACAACAGCAACUCAGCCACUAAGUGGUAGGCCAUGUAAAAUCACAGCGUGGGGAUGCUGGGCACAUAGUGUGCAGGUUGCCAACUUUCUGCAGAAUCAGUCACUAUAUAGUGGACAAAGUUCAUAAAGACAUCUAACUUCUGGCAUCAACAAGACAUUUUCAUCAAGGGAACUGCAGCUCAAAGGGUAUUUUCUUUUUAUCAGACCAUCUAUAUAAACAGUAA